rnacentral:lncRNA from 1 species
UUAUCCGGAAUGCUAUCGGGAUACUCGGAUGCGGUGCAUGGAGUUGGGGUCACGGGAGGAUGAAGCCGAGGAAGAGAUAUGCAUCGCGGGAUGGCUUGCGGAUGAGGUUGAUCCGGAACAGGGGAGCUUGGUCUGUGGACGCGACGUGGAAGGAAUCCGUCGCGGGUUGGGAUGAAGCAACGGACUCGUGAGCUGGGAUAAGAGCAUGCUUCAUUUGGCUGGGAACCGGAAGAGGCCAAUCCUAGAAUUCUUUAGGAUCCGUGCGGCUAAAGAUGAUAUAUUUUGAAAUCUGUGAGACAAAUGAUCGAAGGGAUUGUAUUAUUUUUAACGUUAAAACAGGAGAAUUGGAAUGAGUGGGAAGAAAUUUAGGUGAACUUGGAAAACACUGGAUUUUGGAGAAAAGUUCUUGAAGUCGACUCCGGAGAAUGUGAAAUUGUGAAAUGAUGUAGUGUCCGUUUAGGCUUUACCUAAUUAAGCUCGACUCGACCUAAUGCAUUAAGCUUAAUCAAUAAAUAAUCAAAUCAAACUUGAAUUACCUUUGAUAAUUUAUUAAAAUGCAAUGAUGAAGGUAAUACAUUUUUUAGUUAAAUUUACAAAAUAUGUGAAUUAAAAUAAUGAUAAGUGCUAUGAAUAAGAUAUUAGUUUAUGCAUUAUUUAGCACUUAUCAC